UACAGGGGGUGCAAACGUUGCUCGGAAUCAUUGGGCGUAAAAGCGCACGUAGGCGGUUCGUUAUGUCGGAUGUGAAAGCCCUUGGCUUAACCGAGGAAGUGCAUCCGAAACUGGCGAGCUAGAGUACUAAAGAGGGAUCGCGGAAUUCCCGGUGUAGAGGUGAAAUUCGUAGAUAUCGGGAGGAACACCGGUGGCGAAGGCGGCGAUCUGGGUCGAUACUGACGCUGAGGUGCGAAAGCGUGGGGAGCAACAGGG
rnacentral:rRNA from 1 species